rnacentral:rRNA from 1 species
AGCGAACGCUGGCGGCAGGCUUAACACAUGCAAGUCGAACGGGCAUCUUCGGAUGUCAGCGGCAGACGGGUGAGUAACACGUGGGAACGUACCCUUCGGUUCGGAACAACUCUGGGAAACUGGAGCUAAUACCGGAUACGCCCUUAUGGGGAAAGGUUUACUGCCGAAGGAUCGGCCCGCGUCUGAUUAGCUAGUUGGUGGGGUAACGGCCUACCAAGGCGACGAUCAGUAGCUGGUCUGAGAGGAUGAUCAGACACACUGGGACUGAGACACGGCCCAGACUCCUACGGGAGGCAGCAGUGGGGAAUAUUGGACAAUGGGCGCAAGCCUGAUCCAGCCAUGCCGCGUGAGUGAUGAAGGCCUUAGGGUUGUAAAGCUCUUUUGUCCGGGACGAUAAUGACGGUACCGGAAGAAUAAGCCCCGGCUAACUUCGUG